CCACCGAAAAGACGGCACGCACUCUGUUCUAGGGUUUCCACCGCCGCCGCUACCGCCACCAUCCUGAGAUGCCGACCGAGCUGAAGCGCGCUGCGGAGGAUGGUGAUGAUUCCACUCCCACCCGUCUUCGCCGGAAAAUCGUAGUUCCAGAAAAGCCGGUCUAUCUGGUGGUGGAGCACAAGGCGGAGCCAGCGUACUCCAUCCUCAGUGUUGGCACAAUGGCGCCUAAGAUCCCGCUGCACCUCAGCCAACGCGGCAUGUCGUUCACUGCCAUGGAGUCGCCGCAGGGGUCCUGGAUCGUUGGCGUGGGCGGGGACAAGCAGAUUCACACCACCAUCUUCGAUGUCACCGCCUCCAAGGAGUGGCAGGGUCCGUGGCUCCAUACCAAUAAGAUGGAGCCCAUCCUGAUUCCACACCGCGGCCAGCUCUACGUGCUCUCCAGCCGCCCCUCCGUGAAGAGGGGGGCGAUGGGGCUCGACUACCUUCCCUGGUUCGAGCAGAUUAACUUCGAGGACGGCCGCCCUAACCAAGCCGAGGUUUGCCUAGAACUCGAGCCGCCGCCCAUCUUUCCGUGCCGCAUCACCCCGCCUGAGUACAGGAACCCGCCGGCUAUACGCGUUGCCUCUUACGCCAUGGUUGGCUCCCAUAUUUUGCUCUCCGUGCAACUGGACAAUGUGACCAGCCCCGACAAGGUUGCCAGGAAAUACAGGAAAUACAUGGGAACCUGCGGGUACGACGUGGAGAAGAAGGUGUGGGAGAUGGUGCAUGAGAUGAAUCUUCCUUUCCUUGGCCAGGCGGUGCCCCUCGGCGACCAACUCUUUCUUGCCCGCUCCAAAGAGAGGGACGGCGCUUAUGCAGUGUACUGCAUGCAUGUCGGUCAGUCAACAUCUGGGACCAGCGAGCUGUCCAUUAUUGAGGUUCCGCUGGUGGUGCCAAAGUCCCGACCUAUUCUGGGGGAACUUCUCUUCCCUUUGGGAAGGGGACGGUUCUCUUCUGUUCACUUUCGAUCUGUCGAUACUGAACCGGAGUCCAAGUUGGGCAAACCAAGUGUUGUACAUGGCACCUACUCUAUUGUGAAAGAAAAUUUCGAUGAUGCUAUAAUAAUGAAGCAGCAGCGGCAAGUUUACAAAGUAGCUGAUCGGUCGUGUCCAUUGGCUCAUCCUUUCCCUGUGGUUGCUGCUUUCACAAUGGGCGAUGCAUAGGACCUUGUCGGCAUUGAUGCACCUACAGCCUGAUGUGGCAAUACCGGCAAUCACUUCAACAAUGGAAGCAGAAUGAGGCUUCACUCACAAAGACGAGGACAAGGUGUGUAGCGUUGCAAUUAUCUGCUACAGUUGAUGCAAAAUUGACUGUCGUGUAACUGCAACCAACAUGUGGUAGCUUGGCGUCAAGUUUAUACUUUUUUCUCAGUUAGCUCCUGAUCAUGCUGUCCGGAUCCAUGCUAUCAAUAAUUAUGGUUUAUAUUUAGACAGUGUUUGGCUGUUGUCUAUUGUGUGGUUUGAAGUUGCAGGCUUGCAGCUCUGGCAUCUGUUCAGUCUCUAUGAUAUUUAUGUUGUAUACUAUUACUCUGGAGUUCGGCAAAGUUGCAGCUUUAGUCAUUCAA